AUUGAACGCUGGCGGCAGGCCUAACACAUGCAAGUCGAACGGUAACAGGAAGAAGCUUGCUUCUUUGCUGACGAGUGGCGGACGGGUGAGUAAUGUCUGUGAAACUGCCUGAUGGAGGGGGAUAACUACUGGAAACGGUAGCUACUACCGCAUAACGUCGCAAGACCAAAGAGGGGGACCUUCGGGCCUCUUGCCAUCGGAUGUGCCCAGAUGGGAUUAGCUAGUUGGUGGGGUAACGGCUCACCUAGGCGACGAUCCGUAGCUGGUCUGAGAGGAUGACCAGCCACACUGGAACUGAGACACGGUCCAGACUCCUACGGGAGGCAGCAGUGGGGAAUAUUGCACAAUGGGCGCAAGCCUGAUGCAGCCAUGCCGCGUGUAUGAUGAAGGCCUUCGGGUUGUAAAGUACUUUCAGCAGGGAGGAAGGGAGUCAAGUUAAUACCUUGGCUAAUUGACGUUACCUGCAGAAGAAGCACCGGCUAACUCCGUG
rnacentral:rRNA from 1 species